rnacentral:lncRNA from 1 species
CAUGAAAGUUGCCCAGCAAGUUUUAAAACAAUUUAAAGAUAUAUCAUGAUUGAAAGAGUCUGAAUAAUAAGCUGGCUAUCCUUCACAAUGUAUUUGUGAAUUAGCAUGAACAAAAUUUUGACUGAACAAGUAUUGAACAGGAACAAUAAUAUAUCUGGACCAACUGGUAAUGAAGGUGAUCAGCCUUUCAUACCUGACUUAUACAUGCAAGAUGUACAAAGUACAAUUCAACAUGGCAAUCAGAGAUGAUUAACCAUAAGUAUAUCCGAAUGAACAACUCUUAGUAGAGUUAAGUAAAAGGAAACUUGCCUGAACCGUUGAUUACCGUAACACAAUAUAAUAAGCUUCGUCUGGGACCUAAUGUUAAUAAUAUAUAUCUCCAAUAUUAGAAUAAUAUCAUCACAGUAUAAUACUGUUAUAUAUAUACAUAGAAUAACCUAAACACAUAGCAUAUAAUCCUAUCAGUUUAUUAUACACAUAAGACAUAGCAUCAAGUCAAACUAUUACAGCCCGAGUUGAAACCGACACAAUUCUAUCAUCCCGACGGUCUAGUCGGACAAUUCACGAGUUUAAGUUCAAUUAAACUCUGGCUAAACACUAAACAAUUAUCACAGAUAAUUUUCUUAUCAGUCAAGAUAAUUUUCAUAGACUUGCAAUAAUUUUCAGAUAAUUAAUAUCAUUUAUCAACAUUUUUUUCAAUCAUUAAUACUGCAUUUAAAUGAAUUAAAUACCACAUAAUUCAUUAAUCAUUAAUAUCUAUUUAUGAUUAAAUAUUAAUGAGAAUCAUAACAUAAUAUUAUAAUAUAAUUAUAAUAUCACAAAGUAUUUUUAAUACCUUAAAAUCAUAUUUAUAUGAUUUUUAAACAGUUAAAUCCAUUAUCCGAUAAUUGAUAUUAAUAAUAAGAUAUUAAUAUUUUUAUGCCAAAAUAUCAAAAGAUAUUUUAUAACUUAAAAUGUUUUUAUAAUACUUAAAUCAUUUUAUAUAAUUUUUAAACCAUUAAUUCUAUUUUUCCAUAAUUAUUUAAUAAAUUUAUUAAAUAAACUAAUUACCAUUAAUAAUAAAUUAUUAAUGAAUUUCAUCACAAAAUAUCAAAAGUCAAUGAAAAUAACUUAAAAUAUUUUCUAAUAUCACAAUAUAAUUUUUCAUGAUUUUUCAUGAAUUAAAACCAUUUUUAAAUAAUUUAUUUAAUAUUAUAAUUAAAUAAAUAAAUACCUUUUAUAUUUCAAAAAUAUUAAAUAUUUUUGAAAUAUACUCAAAAUAAUAAAAAACUAAUUUUUGGACUUUAAAAUAAUUUUUCAUAAUUUAUUAUGUAUUUAUAAUAAUUAAAAAUUAUUUUUAUCUGUUUAUGUAAUUAAUUAAAUCAUUUCCUAAUUAAACUGUAGCUAAAAGUGGCCUAUAGCGACAGAACUGUCGUUAUAGGUGUUCUUGGCCAUUUUCCAGAAAUCAUGUCAGAGGCCGAGGGGCUUGGUUUGACCAUCAUUAAGUUCUUAAUCAUAAGGUUUCUGGGCAGUAUAAUAUAAUAGGAUUGUAUUAUUGAUGUAAUACUAUAAUAUUCAUCAAGUUUAGUAGCCAAAACAUAUAAAAUCGGCAAGAUCUAAGCCUUUGAAGUUCAUGUCAGACACUAUUUUUAACUUUCUGGCUUUUCCAGAUUUGAGGUACCUGCUUUGAGCUCUUCAAUCUUAGCAUUCUAGGCUUUUAUAAUGUGUUUUAAUUGUUCACAUAUAUAGUACAGAUGUCAAAUAGCAACUCUAAAUCAUCAGAUCAUCAAAUUAACAUCACAUGUGUAAGAUCUAGCCGGUCAAACUUGCUGUCAGAAACGUGUUCUUGAUGAAUUCUGGGUUUUCCAGAAUUUGGCAAAUCAGACGGUCAAGGCCAUUUUGACCAGCAAUAGUUUUGAUUCUAUAAUAGAUAUAGGUGUUAUACCGACUUUUAUUAGUAGAUCACAUACCUGACUACAACAUAACAACAACAACAUAGACUAAACACCAAAACACAUGAAGAUCUGAAGCACAGAAAAGCUUGUCAGGCGAAAUCUGGGCUGUCCAGAUUCCAGAUUUCAUGGUUGGUCAACGGGUUUUGACUGCCUAUUACUUUCAAUCUACACAUGUUAUGGACUUGAGUCAAGUUGGAAAUCAAAUACCACAUAACAUACUACAAGUAUAAACUCUUAAAACACCAAAAAAAUUAACAGAGACGGAUUUAUGAGGUCUGACAUUUGACUGUCAGACUCUAAUUUUCCAGAUUUCCAGAUUUGAGAAAUCUUUAAAUUCGUGCAUCUAGAUGUUAUAGAUCCUUGAUCUAACAACCCAGAUCACUUAUUAACACCCUAAUACACAACUUUAAACAACCAAUUACAACAAAUAACCUCAGAUCAUAAAAUUUCUAAAUUUUGGGAUUUUAUACCUUUCAAGCUUGAUCUUUGAUUUCUGUCUUUUGAUUCUGUUCUUGUGAAGCUAAUACCUGAUCAUGGCUCAUCUAACCACUCACUCUUACUCUACAUUUCGGAUUUUUAGAGAGAGAAGUGCUUUGGCUAAAAUGAGAAAUAAAGUAGCCAUUUCUCUCUCUUUAAAUCUAUAUAAUUAAUAUGAUACAAUGUAUAUAGAUGCUAAGUUUGGCUGAUUGCUGGACAAGAAGUCACAUGCUAGGCUAGAAUUAUUCCCCAACUCAAUUAUUUGCUAGAUUUGCAAGAUUUGCUUCCAAUAAUUCACAAAUAAGACAAAAGGGUAAAAUGGUAAUUUCCAUACCAAUAAUUGAUUACUACCUUUAAUAAUGCACAAGGGUAUUUUAGACUUCUCACUUUCAUUAUUAAGGGCAUUUUAGACAUUGGCCACAACCCUUAGGGUUUAGGGUUUAACACUUUAGAUUUUAGCAAUUAAAAUUCUAUAACUGUACAUUAGGGUUCCUGACAGAGCAAUUAGGGUUUUAAACUGUAAAAUUAGGGUUUUCUAAAUUAUUAGAAAAUUUAAUUUAAUCAUUAGGGUUAUCCCUAAUUAGGUUUGUAAUUAAAAAUAUAAACCUUAUAUAUUACAUUUAAAUUCCCAAAUUAGGAUUAUAAUGUCCGAAUUAGGGUUUUAAAUCCCCGAAACAGAAAUUAGGGUUUCUAGAACCGAUUUCUAGGGUUUUUUAUCAGACGUUAGGAUUUUCUAACUGAACGCUGACGUUCCUAAUAUAUACUUAGGGUUUGACACUGAUAAAAUUUAUCUGGUCAACCCUUGACCCUUAACCACAUACUGUACACAUAAAUAACCAUAUUCACAUAACAUAUUCACGUAUAGACUUAAUCCUGAAUAAUUCACCUAAUUCCUUCACAGAAUUUUGAAAUCCACAAAAUUCCAUCUCAAAAACGUCAAACGCAUACACUAAUUUUCUGUCUAGGUCUAUUAUUUGACCUUAAAUAAAUCAAAUUCAAAUUUUUAAAAUUUUCUAAAUUCUCGGGUUGUCACAUUCACCCCUUCUUCUAAGAAUUUCGUCCCCGAAAUUCAACUUACACCGUAUACCAUACAGCUUACAACAUUCAUACAUAUCAUCACAUGCUACCCAAUACACCACUCACAAGAGUAAUAUUUUAAAAUUGUGCUGAGGAGUUACAUAGACUAUUUGACUGUCAUUUUCGCAAAAGUUUUAUGGAAAUUCAUCCGCAAACCGUUAUAACUUAUAGACAUAAAGGGUAAUUAGCCCGGUAUGCCCUGUACUUUGCCAAGUACUGCUGGUCUGAUCUGUUUCUCAUCAUUGCCAUAGGCACAAAAUUUAUUUACCUCAGUCUUAUUAUAGAAUUCCGUACCAAAAUAAUUUGGUUCGGGAAAUUUCUUUUAAUGAACACAUAGAGUUUUCAUAAACAUUAGUCUAGCUGAUUCAAAUAGCAUAGACUCAUAUCAAUAAUUCAAUUCAAUCGAAUUAUUUAAGUGUAGCCAAACCCCGUUGGCAAAUUAAAAUUUUUGAAAACAUUUUCGAGAAUGACGUCAUGAUGUCGUACUGUAUUACCAGUCCGUUUGAGGAUGCUGUCAUUGUAUGACUUUGUCAUAACACAUCAUACAAUAGUGGAAUAGCGAUUUUAGAUCAAAUUCACACUAAGUAUUCCUGUAUUUACAACUCCAUCACAUUUUUAUCAUCUCUGCACCAGGUUACAUGGUACAUAAGUGAUAAUUAAAAAUAACUUUUGAUACUUCAAAUCAUUUUUGUCUAGCCGAAAUAAGUAGCAUAGACUGUACUUUAAACCGUUUCAAAAAUGAUUACGAGUCUACAUUUUUUUUAAAGCACAUAGUGCGUAUUUAGCUUGAUGUCAAAAUUUCCAAGUCUAGCAUAACUAGGAGUUUAGGAAAACUUAUGUCUUCACUAACAAUCAUAUGCUUAAUAAUCUAUAUGUUCUUAUUAUUCUCAAUACUUCAUUCACACAUAACUAUACCCAGUUCAUCAAACCACACUUAUGAGUUCAUAAAUUGCCACAAUCAUAUGAGUUUAAGAACUUACCCUAGUCAGACCUUUGGCGUCCAUUCGCUGAGGGGUUCAUAAACAUUUCAUAUAACUAUGAAUCAAGAAUGUCACAUAAGUAUAAAUUUUAAGAACUCGUACUUAACCUUGUAUCCUCUACUUAUAACCUAUCCAUUUGCUAUACACACGAGAAAGGAAUCACCCUCUUAACAUGCAUAUAGCAAAUAGCGCGACACAAACAUUUCAAUGAUUAUCAAUACCAGAAACUAAGUGGUUUUUACACCAAGUACAAUCCCCCGCCCAUACAAAGAAUCAUACAACUCAGCUGCUGACAUGAGUCCUCAAUUGAAAUCCCCACCUAAUCUUAACCCCCUUCUCCAUACGAAUUUCAUUCAAUCCGUAUUCAUAAUCCUUUUCUGGAUCUGUACUAAUUCAUAGCACAACUGAUACACAUCAAUCUUGAUGUAAACUUUUCAAUCAUUCGCUUGAUCCUUCUCCAUACUAUAACCUUAUCAGAUCACUGGGUGAUCUCAUCGUAUAUAUUAUGAUUCAAUUCUAUAUCUUGAUCAUUUUGUUUUAUGAUCUUCUAUCACUGCACUUUCAGUCUUUUAGACUCGAUCUAUUCAUCACUACUGUUUAACUUUAUUAUCAGAGUUAGGGAACUCUGUGUCUUUACAACUCACCGAGAUUUAUCUUUGAAUCUUACUGACACACUAACUCUAUGUGAGUUAGAUCUUAUCCUAAUCACUGCAGUUAUUAGCCUCAGGUAUUCCUACCUAAGCUUCAUAACCAACAGCUUUGAUACCAACUGUAGCAGCCACGAAUCUGGGUCCGAAAUCACCGCGGAUUCGGUACACUAUUUCUAUAACUGUUGCGGAAGAUAUAAACAUAGAUUGUUUAUACAGUACACUUUACACACUAUUCCCAAAAUCGAAUAACCUUAAAUUAUACACAAAUCAUAAACUAUCUAACACAUAACAAUACUAAUCAAAACUACUUUUACAAAUUAGCUGCACAUUUUAUUCCAAGCUGAACUUGGCAUUAUCCUUUUCCUGUAUCCGAACGCAUUCGCCUUAUCUGCAAUGUUUAUCAUGAUAUAGCAAGGGUGAGCAUGAAAGUUGCCCAACAAGUUUUAAAACAAUUUAAAGAUAUAUCAUGAUUGAAAGAGUCUGAAUAAUAAGCUGGCUAUCCUUCACAAUGUAUUUGUGAAUUAACAUGAACAAAAAUUUGACUGAACAAGUAUUGAACAGGAACAAUAGUAUAUCUGGACCAACUGGUAAUGAAGGUGAUCAGCCUUUCAUACCUGACUUAUACAUGCAAGAUGUACAAAGUACAAUU